rnacentral:sRNA from 1 species
UUGUAACUCGAUUUAAAACUGUGAUAACUCUGUAUGCAUUCCUUCGAUAGAUGAAGAGCCGUAUUGAAAAAAUGAAGUCCAUAAGCCAAGUGAUUAGCCUCAUUAUUAUUAGCGUGGUGGUGAUUAUUCUCCCACCGUGCGGGGCAUCGCUUGGACGAAGAAAGACCUGAUAAGAGGUCAGAAAUUCAAGAACCCCCGCACUGAAAAAGGCGGGGGUUUUUUUAUGCCCAAUAAAAACA